rnacentral:rRNA from 1 species
AUUGAACGCUGGCGGCAGGCCUAACACAUGCAAGUCGAACGAGUGGCGGACGGGUGAGUAAUGUCUGGGAAACUGCCUGAUUGAGGGGGAUAACUAGUGGACACGGUCGCUAAUACCGCAUACCCUCAGAUGUGCCCAGAGGGGACUAGCUAGUUGGUGGGGUAACGGCUCACCAGGGCGACGAUCCCUAGCUGGUCUGAGAGGAUGACCAGCCACACUGGAAGUGAGACACGGUCCAGACUCCUACGGGAGGCAGCAGUGGGGAAUAUUGCACAAUGGGCGCAAGCCUGAUGCAGCCAUGCCGCGUGUAUGAAGAAGGCCUUAGGGUUGUAAAGUACUUUCAGUAGGGAGGCGUUACCGACAGAAGAAGCACCGGCUAACUCCGUGCCAGCCGCCGCGGUAAUAC